rnacentral:lncRNA from 1 species
UGCUAGCGGGUCGGGUUCGUUACAAUUGAUAUCAGUGACCGAAUACCAGCCGAAAGUGUGAAUAAGUGCUGUAUGCGGACAAAAAGUGCUACACCAAUGGGUUUGGUGGUGUACCACCUCUUCGAAUUCCGUAGGAGCCACCUCUUAAAAUCUCACAUCGGCGUGGUAAUUGGUCUGCUGCGUCUGUCUGUCUGUGAUCUCGAUUUGGACGCCGAGGAGGACGUGCAGGUCUAACGGGUGAGUUUGUAACAGCGCCAAUAGUCCCACAUCGGAUGGGAUACUGAUUCCGAUCAGUUUAUAUGAGACCUACACGCUAGUAAUAAUAACUGGGCUUAAGCAUUUUGGGCCGGUGGUUGGGCCCAACGAGUUAUUGUUGCUAGCGGGUCAGGUCGUUGCAAUUGGUAUCAGAGCCGAAUACCAGCCGGAAGUGUGAGAACUAAGUGCUAUGCGGGACAAAGUGCUACACCAAUGGGUUUGGUGGGAGCCACCUCUUGAACCCGUAGGAGCCACCUCUAGAAUCUCACAUCGCCUGGUAAUGGUCCUGGUCUGUCUGUCUGUGAUCUGAUUUGGACCCGACAAGGACGUCAGUGUCUAAACAGGGGGAGUUUGUAACACCCCUAAUAGUCCCACAUCGGAUGGGAUACUGAUUCCGAUCAGUUUAUAUGAGACAUACACGCUAGUAAUAAUAACUGAGCUUAAGCAUUUUGGGCCGGUGGUUGGGCCCAACGAGUUAUUGUUGCUAGCGGGUCGGUCGUUGCAAUAAUUGGGCUUAAGCAUUUUGGGCUGGUGGUUUGGGCCCAACGAGUUAUUGUUGCUAGCGGGUCGGGUCGUUACAAUUGGUAUCAGAGCCGAAUACCAGUCGGAAGUGUGAGAACUAAGUGCUAUGCGGGACAAAGUGCUACACCAAUGGGUUUGGUGAGAGCCACCUCUUGAACCCGUAGGAGCCACAUCUAGAAUUUCACAUCGCCUGGUAAUGGUCCUGGUCUGUCUAUCUGUGAUCUGAUUUGGACCCGACGAGGACGUCAUGGUCUAAACAGGAGGAGUUUGUAACACCCCCAAUAGUCUCACAUCGGAUGGGAUACUGAUUCCGAUCAGUUUAUAUGAGACCUACACGCUAGUAAUAAUAACUGGGCUUAAGCAUUUUGGGCCGGUGGUUGGGC